rnacentral:rRNA from 1 species
UACGUAGGGCGCAAGCGUUGUCCGGAAUUAUUGGGCGUAAAGAGCUCGUAGGUGGCUUGUUGCGUCUGCCGUGAAAGCCCGUGGCUUAACUACGGGUCUGCGGUGGAUACGGGCAGGCUAGAGGCUGGUAGGGGCAAGCGGAAUUCCUGGUGUAGCGGUGAAAUGCGCAGAUAUCAGGAGGAACACCGGUGGCGAAGGCGGCUUGCUGGGCCAGUUCUGACGCUGAGGCGCGAAAGCGUGGGGAGCAAACAGG